rnacentral:rRNA from 1 species
GUGGGGAAUAUUGCACAAUGGGCGCAAGCCUGAUGCAGCGACGCCGCGUGGGGGAUGACGGCCUUCGGGUUGUAAACUCCUUUCGCCCACGACGAAGCCCUUCGGGGUGACGGUAGUGGGAUAAGAAGCACCGGCUAACUACGUGCCAGCAGCCGCGGUAAUACGUAGGGUGCGAGCGUUGUCCGGAAUUACUGGGCGUAAAGAGCUCGUAGGUGGUUUGUCGCGUCGUCUGUGAAAGUCCAGCGCUUAACGCUGGGAUUGCAGGCGAUACGGGCUUACUUGAGUGCUGUAGGGGAGACUGGAAUUCCUGGUGUAGCGGUGAAAUGCGCAGAUAUCAGGAGGAACACCAAUGGCGAAGGCAGGUCUCUGGGCAGUCACUGACACUGAGGAGCGAAAGCAUGGGUAGCCAACAGGAUUAGAAACCCUAGUAGUCC